rnacentral:lncRNA from 1 species
UUUUAAUUAAAAAAUUAACGUAAAAAGCCAAAAACUAGAGAAAAAAGAAAAAUGAAAUUAGAGGCCAUCAAUGUGCCACAUCACCUCUUCGACAUUCUCCUUUAUAAUUAUAUAUGGAUUGAUUGGACAACAUAGGCCAAUUUAUUGAUCACUCGGAAACGAUCUACAACUAAAGUAACAGGAAGAGAGUAUUGCAUCUAGAUAAUAGAAAAAAUGUACAUACAAACAAUAUAAAUCUUACUACUGGGAGCUAAUUACUCUCUAUCCCAUUUUUUUUAAUAUUACACAAAAUCCCAGAAAGCUGCUAGGCA